rnacentral:lncRNA from 1 species
UUUCUAACAACAUUUACUUAAAAACAAAAUUCUUGUAUUCUUCAUGUAGGGUCAGUAUUCAAUUGCACAAAAAUAUGCAGCCAACUUAAGAACUAUAUAUAAGAUUAAGACACCUGGUAUUUCAUGGUAAAUGAUUAAAUUAACUAACACAGUUAUAUCCUGAACUUUGCCAUUAGGAAUGACAAUUUUGUUCGAUAUGCAUUGAGGAUUGUGGGUAAUCUAAACUGGUAUGAGCUUUUUCUCUUUGAAACUCAAACAGAAUUAAGGAACAGCAUUCUCUGCAAACAGAAUAUGGAGUUUGAGAACAGCCACAAAAAAUUCUCUUGUAGUAAGCUGAACUGCCCUAGGAGUACUCAGGAAUUAGACAACUCAGGAAUUAGAGAAUUAGAGAACUGGAGAAAUGAGGGGGCGUGGAUAGUAGGGAGAGAAAAAUUGAUUAAUUGAUUUACUAUAUUUUUCAAAUAGAAGUAUCUGGGAAAAUAAGACAAAACAAGCAGAGUUGUUUCUUUUUCACAGUGAAGCCCCAGAGGGGUGAAAGCUUUGUUCUCCCUGGGUAGCAAGCUCUUUUUUCACAUUUCCGACUGCAUAUUCCAUAUUUAUGAUGAUUUUUGGUCUCUCUGUUCCUGGCUUGCUAGGUGGCAAGGGCAGUUAGAGAAAAAAGGCAGAUUUAUGAAACACAGAAAAAUUUCUGACUGAAAUCAGGCUUGGAUUUGUGAAUCACUGUUUUUUCCCCCUGUGGUCACUCCUGUGAUGAGGUCAACUGCUUCAAUCCUUUAGGUUUUGUAGACAGGUUUCCGGAUUCCAGGAGUCCCAGAAGGUCCAGGGAGCGCUCCCCACAUUUUAGCCAGAAGUAAUUAACUAAAACAUAAAGGCCCCACUUUCUCUUUUCACACUUUGAGCCACAGAUCAUCUAAUUCCUAGCUUGAGACAUCAGAUUUCAGAUCAUUAGUGCAAAGCAUCUUCCACAGGAGGCAAUAAAAUGUCACUUUAUGUAACUCAGCUACAGUUACACUGCCUUCAGAAAGCAGGAAUCUCCCUGAAAACAAAUUUACAUGAAAACAGUCCCAUUGUUUGAGAAUUUAUGCAAAUGUUGCACAAAGGGGUUUGAUAGUGAUUUUAAAAACUUAAAUCUUUAUCACUGCCUCAAAGAUAUCCUGAGAAACUUGGUUACCUCUAAAGAAUUCCAUUGCACUUAUUUUUUAAAAUGCCUAUAAUAUAGAGUUGUUUUAAAAAUUUUCCCUAAACUCUAAACUUCUUUCUCAGCUUCAAAGCCUUCCGUAAUGAAUAUCCUAAAGAGAGCCUAGUGCAUAUUGGUUUAACACUUACUAGGAUCACUCAUUACUAGUUAAGAAAAUUGAAGAUAACAACCAUAGCACCAAGUAUUUUGAACAACAUAAAAUGUUUCUCCCGUGGGUGUAGCUCUUAGGGACCGCAUGGGGAUACACACCCCUCAGUGCUCAAUCAGCAAAAGAUGAAGCUGUAAGUGUCUCAAUCCAUGUUGAUUGACUCUGAACUCCCCAGUGUUAGGAAUCUGGAUGUGUCCAUUACUGCAUGUUCAAACAAUGAACUGCCUGCACCAGAAAUCUGAUUUCUGUAGAAAGACAUUAAGGGGCUGGGUGAGGAAUAGGGUGUCAACCAAACGUUGUGAUAUUUUCCUUUGAUUUUCACUUUCUUUAAAUUCUUUUCCAUUUACUACCUAGUGACUGUCUGGCAUUGGUACCCUCAGUUUCUUUUCUUCUGCUUUUCCUCCUAAUUCAGUGUGGAAGAUGAUCAAAGUAUGACAUUUCUUCUACCCCAGAGGCUGGCAUUUCUGCAGGCACAAAUGAGCUUGGUUUUCAAGCACUGCUCUUUGAACACAAGGAAUUCCUUUAAUGAUCACGCCGGACUAUAUAGACUUUGGAAUCAGACUCUUUGAAUUCCAGCUCUGCCAUUUACCAACUUUGACACUUUGGACAACGUCUCAUUCUGUCACCCAGGCUGGAGUGCAGUGGCACAAUUAUAGCUCACUGCAGCCUCAAACACCUGGGCUCAAGCAAUCCUUCCACCUCUGCCUCCUGAGUAAUUGGGACUACAGGCAUGUGCCACCACACCCAGCUAAUUUUUAAUUUUUAAUUUUUUUGUAGAGAUGGCGGUCUUGCUAUGUCACCCAGGCUGGUCUUGAACACCUGGCCUCAAGUGAUCCUCCGGCCUUGGUCUCUCAAAGCUCUGGGAUUACAGACAUGAGCCACUGCACCCGGCUCUAUCUCCCCUUCCUAUGUGUGUUAGCUCUAGAACAAGAGAAGCCUUGUUGAGAUUCCUGGCUGCCCACCCCCCAUCACCUCUCUGACUUUGGGCAAGUUGCCUGGCCUCUCUCAGCCUUUAUUUUCUUUUUGUGAAAUGGGGAUAAUAAUAGUACUUGCCUCAUAGGCAAAAUGUUGUGAGAACUAAACGAGAAAAUGCAUGUAAAGCACUUGGCACUUAGUUCUUUUUAUGAUUAUAAUGAUAAUCAGACACAAUAAAUUAUGUCUCACAUC